CACGUAGGCACCAAGCGUUGUCCGGAUUUAUUGGGCGUAAAGAGCUCGUAGGCGGUUCGGUAAGUCGGGUGUGAAAACUCUGGGCUCAACCCAGAGCCGCCACCCGAUACUGCUGUGACUUGAGUGCGGUAGGGGAGCGGGGAAUUCCUGGUGUAGCGGUGAAAUGCGCAGAUAUCGGGAGGAACACCAAUGGCGAAGGCAGCUCGCUGGGACGGUACUGACGCUGAGACGCGAAAGCGUGGGGAGCGAACGAGG
rnacentral:rRNA from 1 species